CCCUGGGCCGCACUAGGGAUGCAAAGAUUCAAACAAGGGUCCUUAGUCUUGAGGAAGAAGUGAAGUGGGGAAGACAGAAGUAACUACAGAUCUGCCUUCCCCGCUUGAAUUCUCGAUAACUUUCAAGAGCCAGGUGAGAAGAGGGCAGUGCUAUAGGAGGAGUGACCACUGGAGAUAUGCCAGAGUGCUAUGGCGAAUGCCACCAAGUCCAUGGGUCUGGCAAUGAUGGGCAAAUGAAGAUGGAUUUCUUGGAGCCCAGC